rnacentral:rRNA from 1 species
UCUGAUCCAGCCAUGCCGCGUGCAGGAAGACGGCCCUAUGGGUUGUAAACUGCUUUUAUAUAGGAAGAAACCUUUUCACGUGUGGAWAGCUGACGGUACURUAUGAAUAAGSACCGGCUAACUCCGUGCCAGCAGCCGCGGUAAUACGGAGGGUGCAAGCKUUAUCCGGAAUCAUUGGGUUUAAAGGGUCCGUAGGCGGACUAAUAAGUCAGGGGUGAAAUCCAACAGCUUAACUGUUGAACUGCCUUUGAUACUGUUAGUCUUGAAUUAUAUGGAAGUAGAUAGAAUGUGUAGUGUAGCGGUGAAAUGCUUAGAGAUUACACAGAAUACCGAUUGCGAAGGCAGUCUACUACGUAUAUAUUGACGCUAAUGGACGAAAGCGUGGGGAGCGAACAGGAUUAGAUACCCUGGUAGUCCACKCCGUAAACGAUGGACACUAGUUGUUGGAUUUAUUCAGUGACUAAGCGAAAGUGAUAAGUUCC